UACGAAGGGGGCUAGCGUUGCUCGGAAUCACUGGGCGUAAAGCGCACGUAGGCGGAUUGUUAAGUCAGGGGUGAAAUCCUGGAGCUCAACUCCAGAACUGCCUUUGAUACUGGCGAUCUUGAGUUCGGGAGAGGUGAGUGGAACUGCGAGUGUAGAGGUGAAAUUCGUAGAUAUUCGCAAGAACACCAGCGGCGAAGGCGGCUCACUGGCCCGAUACUGACGCUGAGGCACGAAAGCGUGGGGAGCAAACAGG
rnacentral:rRNA from 1 species